rnacentral:rRNA from 1 species
GUGCCAGCAGCCGCGGUAAUACGAAGGGGGCUAGCGUUGUUCGGAUUUACUGGGCGUAAAGCGCGUGUAGGCGGGCUGGAAAGUUGGGGGUGAAAUCCCGAGGCUCAACCUCGGAACUGCCUCCAAAACUUCCAGCCUGGACUCAAGUAGAGGCAAGUGGAAUUGCGAGUGUAGAGGUGAAAUUCGUAGAUAUUCGCAGGAACACCAGUGGCGAAGGCGACUUGCUGGACUUGUAGUGACGCUGAGACGCGAAAGCGUGGGGAGCAAACAGGAUUAGAUACCCUCGUAGUCC